AUUGAACGCUGGCGGCAUGCUUUACACAUGCAAGUCGAACGAGUGGCGCACGGGUGAGUAAUACAUCGGAACGUGUCCUAUCGUGGGGGAUAACUGAUCGAAAGAUCAGCUAAUACCGCAUACGAUUGGAGCGGCAGAUGCCCGAUUAGCUAGUGGGUGAGGUAAAGGCUCACCAAGGCGACGAUCGGUAGCUGGUCUGAGAGGACGACCAGCCACACGGGGAUGGAGCCACGGCCCAGACCCCGACGGGAGGCAGCAGUGGGGAAUAUUGCACAAGGGGCGCAAGCCUGAUGCAGCCAUGCCGCGUGUAUGAAGAAGGCCUUCGGGUUGUAAAGUACUUUCAGCGAGGAGGCGUUACUCGCAGAAGAAGCACCGGCUAACUCCGUGCCAGCAGCCGCGGUAAUAC
rnacentral:rRNA from 1 species